rnacentral:tRNA from 1 species
UGGUAAUUAGUUUAACCCAAAAACAAAUGAUUUCGACUCAUUAAAUUAUAAUUCAUUUUAUAAUUACCAA